rnacentral:snRNA from 1 species
GGACCUGUGUAAGGAUCCCUGUUCAUCUGUCACCCCAUUGAUCGCCAGGGUUGAUUCGGCUGAUCUGGCUGGCUAAGCAGGUGUCCCCUUCCUCCCUCACCGCUCCAUGUGCAUCCCUCACGGAACGGUCUUCCAUCUGACCCGUCUUCCAGAGGGUAUACGAGUAGCUGCGCUCCCCUGCUAGAACCUCCAAACAAGCUCUCAAGGAUCCCUGUUCCAUCCCCCAGCUCCCCACCUGCAGGGGCGUCACUUCACAAGCAGUGAAGCAGGUCUGUAGGCGUCUCUCUUC